ACAUUGAUUUCCCAAGAUGUGGAAAUAGCAGCUGAUUUCCCAAGAUGUGGAAACAGCAGCUGCAUCCAACAGGACUUGGUGGAAACAACUGGAGGAGACAUGCCUGAUGGACGUAGACUUUCCAAGAUGUGGAAACAGCAGCUGUGGCCAACAGGACUUGGUGGAAACAACUGGAGGAGACGUGCCUGAUGGACAUUGACUUUCCAAGAUGUGGAAACAGCAGCUAUGGCCAACAGGACUUGGUGGAAACAAAUGGAGGAGGACAAGCCUGAUGGAUGUUACCCCCCCCCCUUUUCAAGACAUUUCACAGCAGAUAACUGACACUGAUCAGUUGUUUUUGCGAAUGUGCAUUUUGCUGGAAAACGAAUCUGACAUAUGCCAUGUGCACCUUGAGAUUUUAACCAGAUAGAGAAAAAUUGAUGAGCUUUCACUUAAGGGGUGUCCCAUCCUUCAAUGAAAAUUAGGGGAGAAGCUGUGUGAGAAAACAUUGACAUUGUCACCUAUAGGAAUUAAAUGUAUUAGUGGACUAUACCCAGACUGAUGGAUUUGACCCUCUAUAAUGUGGAAAUGAGCUUCUACACCAGACAGGAAUUGGUGGAAAAACUUGGGAAAGACAAGUCUGAUGGAUGUUGACCCUCUAAGAUGUGGAAAUGAACAGCCACAGUCAGACAGGAAUUGGUGGAAGCAACUAGAAAAGACAAAACUGAUGGAUGAUGACCUUCCCAACAGGAAGACUUAUCCCUGUGGAGAACUGUCACUGAUCAGUGUGCUUUGAUGACAAUAUCCAGUAGGAGACUCAAAUAAAGCCAUGUGGAUGUGCUUGACAUUAUGAAUGACAAGGAGCCCUCAGAAAAUAGAAGUAUUGAAGAGGCAUAUCCUUGUGAUCGCAUGUGGAGAAAGACAAAGAUAGAUGACCAUGUAGAAAGCCAGAUUAUUUUGCAUACACAAGCACAUCCAGUUUACACUGUUAUAAUCCAAAACAAUUUUUUUUUGAAACAUUUGUUUUGGAAAUGGGUGUCUGAGUUGUAAGAGGGUAUGGGGUCACCCACUCAGACACGUGGGUUUUCUCCGGGGGCUCCGGUUUCCUCCCACACUGACCCCAUUCUUUUUCUCUGUGCCAAUGUAAAUAUCUUUAUCUAUUGUUUUGCUCUGAUGUUAUUUUACUUAGUUUGUUAUAUUUUAUAUAAAAUGUUUAGAUGAAGUAGUUGAAAGCUAGUUGUUAAGUAGACCUUGUCGAUACCCUGGGGCAUUACUGGUUGGAACUUCGUGGAUCCUUGGCCGCUACGGUUGCCAGGCUGGCCUGGGGAGGAGGGGUUGAAAACGCAACUAGUUGUAGGCUGCUUUGUCUUUAAUAAUCUGUUUUCAUUUUAUCUAAAAUCAAAGAAUCAUAUAUGUUGCAGAUAUAAUGAUUGUUAAAUAUUAAAUUAGUAUUCCUGGAAUGUACAAAUUCUGUCAGCUACUGUACCAGUAAUAAUUUGUAUAGUCAACUCUGAUUAUUAGCUUAUUGUGAAAUUGAAUGCAUUAUAUACUGACUAAAUCUUCAGUAAAAGUAAUUGAUUAUAAAUUUUGAUGUGAAAUUAUGAUUUGUAUUUAAUAAUGUAAAGUAAUUGGAUCUGAACAUGUUAAAUUGUGAUCUGUUAAUGUUAAAUUGUGAUUUUUGAAUGUCAAAUUGUGAUUUUUGAAUGUCA